CCUUACUCUGUGAAUCAUUCACUCCACCACCUAAUCAUGUUGUCCAAAUUGAAAAAGAUAUUAUACAAGGGUCAAAUGAGACGGGAUUCCUUUGGAGCUAAAUUGAGGAAGAAUUGUGGGUUGUGCCAAAGACUUCGUAAUAACAUCCUAAGGACCGGUCCCAAGACGUAACUGGACCGAAUGAAUAAGGAAUGACAGAACAAUAUGUAGUCAUCAUACUUUUAUUAUCAUUAAUUCUAUUAUGUUGGAUAUAAAUUAUAUUUUGUAAUUUCCGCCAUCUGGCGGGACUAAAUAGUACUUUGUGUAUUAUUUAGGAAAAUGAUAUUUUUUACUAUGAAAAUAUAUAUGUAACAUCCA
rnacentral:lncRNA from 1 species